GCUUCUUUGACGUUAGCGGCGGACGGCCGAGUAACACGUGGGCGACCUGCGUGUGGGAGUGGGAUAACUUCGGGAAACCGAAGCUAAUACCGGAUAGGAUCUUCUCCUUCAUGGGAGAUGAUUGAAAGAUGGUUUCGGCUAUCACUUACAGAUGGGCCCGCGGAGCAUUAGCUAGUUGGUGAGGUAACGGCUCACCAAGGCAACGAUGCAUAGCCGACCUGAGAGGGUGAUCGGCCACACUGGGACUGAAACACGGCCCAGACUCCUACGGGAGGCAGCAGUAGGGAAUCUUCCGCAAUGGACGAAAGUCUGACGGAGCAACGCCGCGUGAGUGAUGAAGGCUUUCGGGUCGUAAAACUCUGUUGUUAGGGAAGAACAAGUACGAGAGUAACUGCUCGUACCUUGACGGUACCUAACCAGAAAGCCACGGCUAACUACGUGCCAGCAGCCGCGGUAAUACGUAGGUGGCAAGCGUUAUCCGGAAUUAUUGGGCGUAAAGCGCGCGCAGGCGGUUUCUUAAGUCUGAUGUGAAAGCCCACGGCUCAACCGU
rnacentral:rRNA from 1 species